UCUCAGCUGAUGGAGGAGAUGCUGCAGUGGGUGCUGCUGGGUCUUUGCUUUGUGCCUUUGUCAUGGCUCAGGAAUCCUUUGCUGAGGCUGGGUGGGAGCUUCUGCGAGGUCAGCUCUUCCCCUCUCACCCGCACCACUCUUUCAUGGACCACAUGUCCCCUCCUGGAGGAGCACCUGGG